AUGGUCGUAUCACGUUGAAACACAGGUUCUAGUACGAUCACCGAAGUUAAGCAACGUCGGGCCUGGUCAAUACCUAGAUGAGAGACUGUUUGGGAAUUCCAGGUGCUGUAAG